UAAACGCGUUCUAAUGUGAAAACGUAAAGCUUCGAGAGUUCUAUUUACGUGUAAGAGAGGAUUUUUCUAACGUUUGAAGAUAACGAAGGAUUUUAACUGAGAUUAAAAACUUCGUAAUGUUUUCUUGAAAAAUAUUGGCGAAGGAAAAAUUAAGAAAGAAGAAAAGAAAAAGUGAAUGAAGAAAUAAAAAUGACCACUUCCAAUUUGAUUCGAUCGAAGAUGAAGUAGCAAAAUUUUUCUUUUUUCUUUUUCUUUUUUUUUUUUUUUGUCUUUCUUUCCCCUUAUCAAAUUUUCGAAAGUUCAAUUUUUCUUUCUCUUUUUCUUCUCCCUCUCCCUCUCUCUCUCUCUAUAUAUCUCUCUCUCUUUUUUUAUUCUUUCAACCAUAAGAAGAAAAUGAAAAAUACAGAAGAAACCGAUGCCCUUCCAGAAGCCAUAAUUUCUCUUUAGACAAGGAAGCAAAGAUGAAAAGAUAUGAACGCGCAGGUCUAAGGUUAACGAUCGUUAAAAGGCAGAGUGGAUCCCAAGUAGUAUUCUGGACCAGUCUGAAAUACCGUAAUCGAGGGAAAAAAAUCACUGUUUUUUAACUCGAAUCUUCUUCUACCGAAUUUUUCUCACAGUUAUUAUACCAGAAAAAUGAAGUAAGUAAGUAAGUAAGUAAGUAAGUAAGUAAGUAAGAAAAAAAGAAAGAAAGAAAGAAAGAAAGAAAUCAUCCGAUAUUAAGUUUGAAUUAAAGUGUAGGUAAGAAUGUAUAAUAGUUGUUUGAGUUGAACGAUUAAGAAAGAGAGUGAUAAAAAAUAGAAUUGAAAGAGAGACAGAGACAGAGACAGAGACAGACAGACAGACAGAGACAGACAUAGAUAGAGAGAGAGAGAGAGAGAGAGAGAGAGAGAAAAAGUAUGAAGAAAGAGAAGUUAAGAUGAAAACAUAAAAACUCAUGGAAAACUUUCACGAAGGCGAACCAGCGCCAAGUGAACAUUAGAGGUGUGUCUCCUCUCUGUAUCACCACCUCCCUCUCUCCCACCCCUUCUACAAAGCCACUACCACCACCAGCAGCACCACCACCACCACCACCACCACCACCACCACCACCACCACCACCAACACUACCACUACCUCCAUCUCCUUCCAUAGUCAACCGAGCAUGUCGAAACCGGAACGCGUAGAUAUAUAUCAAACUCGAUUCCAUUUAGUUUCCACAGCGUCUGUGAGUGGAUAGCCUACCUACCGUAGAUCGAACGUAGCAGCCGUGAAAUGGAAAUCUAGAUUGUGGCUGCAUGAAGGAGAGCAUGUCCCGGUAGUUGAUCUUGAUCAAUUGUUUUUCAACGGUUUCGUGAAAACAAUAUUGCCCAGAAGUCGAUUUUCGUUCGUUUCUUAUUUUUUCUAAGAUCACAUCAUACCAUCUAAGAACUUGUACAUGUUGAACGAUAUAACGUCUUGUCAUUAUAAUGCACCUAUCUACAUAGACAUGUUGAAGAAAUUUUCGACACCCUAUAUAAAUCUAAGUAAUCUUUUAAAACGAUCGAACGAUCUCGCAAAGAAGGUCGAUCCUGAUAGACCGAGCAAAGAAGGAAAAGGCCAGGGAGGAAUCCUAUCGACUGUAUCGAGAAAAAAAGUAAGCCAGCGAAAAAGAAAGAGAAAUAAAGAGAGAAAGACAGAGAGAAAGAUAUAUAUAUAUAUAUAUAUAUAUAUAUAUAUAUAUAUAUAUAUAUAGAAAGAACUCAAAGAAGAGUGAAGGAAGAGGAUAGAGCUCGACCGCUUUUGAUCCAAGGAAUUAGCACGCCUGUCGACCCUGAGAGACGACGUUAGCCUGUGAUUCGAGAUUACAAGGAGGACAUCCUACGUCGUCACGGU